rnacentral:rRNA from 1 species
GACAAGGGCCCCCAGGCCUUACGGGCGCAGCAGGUGCGAAAAUUCCGCAAUGCGUGCAAGCGCGACGGAGUGACCCCCAGUGCCGAUGGCUAACGAUCGUCGGCUUUCUGGAGUGUAAAAAGCUCUGGGUAAUAAGGGCCGGGUAAGACUGGUGCCAGCCGCCGCGGUAACACCAGCGGCUCAAGUGGUAGUCGAUUUUAUUGGGUCUAAAGCGUCCGUAGCCGGAUCGUCAAGUCCCUUGUGAAAUCGGGCGGCUUAACCGCUCGGCUUGCAAGAGAAACUGACGUUCUUGGGGUCGGCAGGCGCCGAGGGUACUCCGGAGGUAGCGGUGAAAUGCUAUAAUCUUCGGGGGACCGCCGGUGGCGAAAGCGCUCGGCGGGGCCGAACCCGACGGUGAGGGACGAAGGCCAGGGGAGCGAACCGGAUUAGAUACCCGGGUAGUCCUGGCUGUAAAGUAUGUGGGCCAGGUGCCAGACGUUCCUCGAGAGCGCUUGGUGCCGAAGGGAAGCCGUUAAGCCCUCCACCUGGGGAGAACGGUCGCAAGA